UUCCCUCUCCCUUGCUCGAUAACAGUGGUAUCGUAGCCACUUCGUCUGGGACACACGCUCGAGGUCGUGAAGGAGACCAGUCGUUGGAGGUCGGCUAUCAGGUAAAGCGGCCGGGAUGUUUCGUUUCGCUUUCACAGUUUUUGGUGCUCUGGACUGGUCGUGGAUAAUGGGAGGGAGGGAAUUUAUAUACCCUUGUUCUUCCUUGGUGUGAGGCGGGCAAUGGCGGCACCAUAGAGGCGGCCGAAGGCGGCGAUUUCAGGGGAUUCACCAAGGUUUAGACUUGAUGUUUUAUCAGCACAAGAGAAGAUGAUAAGGUGCAUAUCCGAUCGGCAGGAAGAUAUGGACGACAGCUUGCGAGUCUUGGGAGCUGCAGUGACCAGGUCGAUGGGGGACUUGGGAGGGAGUUAGGCGCCGACCUUUCGAGUUCCAAGUACCACCAUUCAGCGGGAGCAGUGUUGCCUACAACACUGCUGGGCACUCAACCAUCGGUAUGUCUCCAUACCAGGCGCUUUAUGGAAGUGCAGUAGCUUCCCCGAUCUUGAUGACAACUCCCACUUCAUCAAACGACGUCAGUGACCAAGUGGAAGCCAUCAGGAAGAUGCAGCAGCUGAUUGGGCAACGGUUGGAAUCUCCUCGUGUCGUCACAGCUCCAUCCCAGAUUCUUCGGCCCACUCAGGAUACUCGAAAAGAUCAACGAGCUCGCCUAUAAGUUGGCUUACCACCGGGGUCGCACCUACAUAACGUUUUCGACGUGUCGGAUCUCAAGCUUUUGCGGACCAGCUCCCGGAGUUUUUUCCUGCGCCGGAGUUUGUCUCCUCCGACAGGCAGCCUAUGCUGCAACCGAAAGCACACUGGGAGAUACAAGGUCAGGUGGCACGGAACGGAUGACGAACAGGAACGGACCAGAGCUCCUCGAAACAGACCUGUUAGGACGUACUAUAAGCGCAUGAGAGUACGGAGGAUUAUUACCAUCUUCAUAUCUCUUCUCUCACAUCUUACCUUCUCUCCCCACGUCCAUCAGUUUAAGGAAUUUAAGCACUGUCGGGAUGAUGGAUGUCGAGUUUUGGCCUGGCACCUGGGUUAAAAAUUCACUCGCUCUCGCGAUCACCUUGAUGAUAGACUAUGGAGUUACGAGGCAUCAGAAGAACUUUAUCAACACUCGAGAUACACUAAAAAGCCUUGCCAUAUACAACAUUGCAGAUCAACUUCAAGCAAGUGAUGAGGUUGAUCACUUGCAAGUUUUCCGUCAGUUUACUUUGGAUAUUCCCCUACUCUAAAUCUCCAGCGCCAUGGACGCUUGCAUCGCGACUGGGAAUCCCGCGGUAUUCAGCAAAUCCUCACGUCCCGCUCUAAGCUGAGCUGGCAUUCUUGUGAUUGAGCAAUAUUUCUUCACAGAGGCUGUGAAUUUCUGGAUGGCGAAUUCAGCUGUGUGGGACGACGAUGCCGUGCCAGCUGCUCACGAUAUCGCCAGGUUUUGGUGUGCGGGAUCCUCGUCUUUGAUUUCACUCAGAAGAUUUUCCUUGCUUCCAAGCCGGAGCAUUGUUUCUAC
rnacentral:lncRNA from 1 species